rnacentral:rRNA from 1 species
AUUGAACGCUGGCGGCAGGCCUAACACAUGCAAGUCGAGCGGAUGAAGGGAGCUUGCUCCUGGAUUCAGCGGCGGACGGGUGAGUAAUGCCUAGGAAUCUGCCUGGUAUUGGGGGAUAACGUCCGGAAACGGGCGCUAAUACCGCAUACGUCCUGAGGGAGAAAGUGGGGGAUCUUCGGACCUCACGCUAUCAGAUGAGCCUAGGUCGGAUUAGCUAGUUGGUGGGGUAAAGGCCUACCAAGGCGACGAUCCGUAACUGGUCUGAGAGGAUGAUCAGUUACACUGGAACUGAGACACGGUCCAGACUCCUACGGGAGGCAGCAGUGGGGAAUAUUGGGCAAUGGGCGAAAGCCUGACCCAGCCAUGCCGCGUGUGUGAAGAAGGUCUUCGGAUUGUAAAGCACUUUAAGUUGGGAGGAAGGGCAGUAAGUUAAUACCUUGCUGUUUUGACGUUACCAACAGAGUAAGCCCCGGCUAACUUCGUG